AAUCUUACAGAGCUGUCCUUAAAUUAUGCAAAAUAUGUUAUAAAAAGGAAACAACAUAACAAGAACCAUGUCAGUGUCACAUCAAAAUGACAACAAUGUCAUAAAAAGAAAAACAACUUCUAAAUUUGAUUUCAUCCAUUCAUUACUGGUAAUAUGCUUUUAGCGACAGAACUUUCCUAGUUGUAGAAGCCUAACUUGAGUCCUGGAACAUGAGACUCUGUCUAUCCAAAACAUUCUUUGAGAAGUUGAAAUAGAAGCUUUCACAUUUUCAGUUGGCAAAUCUUCCCUGGGACACUACUGUGUGUUUGGCAUGGUUUUCAACACUAUGAGGACAGUGGUUGGCUUCUCUUUUAGAGUGAUGGACGGUAAACAGAUACAUAGGCAAGAAAAGUAUCACGUGCCUAAGGAAAAAUAAAGCAGAAUCAGAGGGUGAUGGUCUUUCAGAGAGAAAGUGGUGUGGUGCCAUUUGAGUAGAGAUUUGAGUAGAGAUUUUUGUGCAGAAAGGGAGAAGUCACUUGAGGCCUGAGAAAAGGGCUUUCUGGAUGGAGGGAACAGGGAGACAAAUGCCUUGAUGUGGGAAGGAGCAGUGAAUGACGGAGAGACUGAAGUGAAGAGAUGAUAGGGGUUGAUAAUGUUGAUAAUGUUGGAGGGCAAUGGUGGAGUGAGGCCAGGCGAGGAAGGAAUGUGCUUUGCUCUUCAGACGAAAUGGAUACUGUAUGAGUUGGAGUGACAUCUUCCCUUUGGUGUCUGCUGAGAAACUCUCCCCUAAUGAAAGGGUCUAGGACAGCAGGCAUGUAUUUAGCUCACAAGUCUUUGGCCAGUGCUUUGGGCUGGACCAGGUAAGCAAUCUCUGCUAUACCUGAAUAUUUCAGUUCAGAGGAGUGAAGUAUCAAGGGAAUUUUUUGAGUGAAGGCUUCACAGAGAAGCAAAGAUUUGAGCUGUCUCUGAAACUUGGUGGUUUUGAGUGAUAUGAUGGUGGCAACCCUGGUGAAGGUAGGCAUGAAGGACUAAGGCUGUGUGAACAUAGUAUGCCAGGGACAGGUGGAAUUGCAUCCAACCAGAGAAGCAACUGCUUUGGGAAGUGCGGCCAGGGUGACUGGGACAGCUAGCUGUGGAAGGACUGGAUGAAAAGUUCAGGUCUGGGGUGGAAGGAAACAGCCAUGGUGACUGUUUACCAUAAGAGCAAUAUAGCAGGUGAAGGAGAAGCAGGGGCUGAGGCCCUGCCCAGCUUUGUGGCAGAAGGUAGGGAAUGGGUGGAGCCUUGGGAGCACAGCACUAUGACAACCCACCCUUGACUGCCACCAUGGGAUAGGGAGGUGGGUGUGGAAGCUAACCUGUAAUUCAAGGUGAGAAGAUUUGCUGAUAAAUAAGGUAUGAGAGAAGAGGGGUUUGUAAAAAGUGAUUCCACUGUAGCAUUUCAUGAAAAAAAAAAGCACUCUCUGUCUUUUAGUAGAACGAUAUACAUUGCUAAGUUUCAAAUCAUUGAGGAUGUUAACAAAAUAGAAACCACUCUAGGUAUUUAAGGAUAGGAUUUAACAUAGCAGGAUCUUGAGGAAAGGAAUGGAGUUGUGCAGUAUCCAACACACAUGGCAGCUCACCAGAGACAGACCAUGUCUGCUCAGGCCCUCCUUUGGCCCUCCCCCACUGCAAGACGAGCAGUAGUGUGAUGCCUGCUUCUCUUCUGCUUUCCACCUUGGGGCCAGGGUUCCUCCUGGGUGGAAUAUGACCAGGAUUCUGGGAGACGGAGAUUUUGAGGUGGAAGAAAUGGUGCUGAGUAUCAAAAGCAGUCCAAUUCAGAUGGUGAUCUGAAACAGUUAACAGUGAUAACUCUUCACUUCACUUAUUUGUGACUUAUCACUGUUGUAGACAGAGAAACACACUAUGGAUUACCCUUUCUAUUCCCUGACUCUGGGGCUGACUUCUCCUGAGACAAUACCUUGCUUUUACAUUUAGGUCUCUAGUCCCAGAUGGAAGCUAAC
ensembl:lncRNA